rnacentral:rRNA from 1 species
UACGUAGGGUGCGAGCGUUGUCCGAUUUAUUGGGCGUAAAGAGCUCGUAGGCGGUUUGUCGCGUCGGCCGUGAAAUCUCCACGCUUAACGUGGAGCGUGCGGUCGAUACGGGCAGACUUGAGUUCGGUAGGGGAGACUGGAAUUCCUGGUGUAGCGGUGAAAUGCGCAGAUAUCAGGAGGAACACCGGUGGCGAAGGCGGGUCUCUGGGCCGAUACUGACGCUGAGGAGCGAAAGCGUGGGGAGCGAACAGG